rnacentral:piRNA from 1 species
UGAUUCUGUGUUUACCGAGCAAUGUUGUA